ACGCCCCCAUGCGCUGGACCGCCCCCAGCUAGGGGUUGAGCUAGCUCCCAGCUGCAAGGCUAUCCUCCGCACUCCCACCCAGUUUGCUCACUCGGGACUCAGCUAACAGCUAUGUGCCAAGGACCACCGGGUAGUACCAUCACCGAGCCAGUCAUACUCAGCAAGCUCCCGCCCCCACCCACCUCUGGUACGAUCCAACCAUCCCUAACCAACUCAUCACCAUGGGCUGCACCUGUGCCCAGGGCUGACAAUUUCCCUGCCUCUAAGCUACAGGUGCUCUUCUUGGUUCACCUUCCAUGUCGCUGACCAACAGGCCCUUAAAACAACAGAUCAACUCAGGGCCCUUGAAACCAUGUAACAGUGGUGGUGGUCAACUCCGCAUGGGCCAGUGGAAGCUCAAAACCAGGAUGAUGGGGAAAAAAAAACAACAAUGGGUGAUGCAGCUGAUCAAACCUUCAGGGACUUCCUCCCUAUGAGAGUAAAAUGAGUUUCUGAGAGAUGUGCCAACUAGGAAGUCCCACCCUGGAGGAAGCACAAGGAAGAGGACAACAGAGAGAAAAAUCUUAAAUCUCAAGCCCUUCUGGGUCAAGGCUGGGCUAGGCCUGUGCUAAAGAGCACGGGCUUGCUUCUUGCCUUGUCUAAUUAAACUUGACUGCUGGAACCAUUACUGGGCCCUGCCUGAACUGUCUUUUUCAGGAAAUCAAAAAUGGAAAAUUUCUGCUGGGGUGAAGACUAGAGGAAAUUGGAGACACCCACCCCCUUAGACACAGGGUGGAGAUUGCCAUGGGCAGCUCUCCAAACACCUGGUCUGUCUUCGCUGAGAGAGCAGCAAGGGCAGGUGAGGGUUCUUAGCUGGGGAAUUAGCCCAUCUGGUCUUGAACUGACAACACCUGCUGUGUUCUACUGAGGGUUGGGCCAUCCUUGGGCUCUGUGAAAAGAGGGAAGGGUGCUGACCUCCACCUGAAAUUCAGAGACCAGAGACGAUGCAGGGAGGCAGGGUACUUGGGCUAGGGAUGAUGAAACGUCAUAAGGAAAAUAAAGUCCCCAACUAAGUGAGGGGCAUGGGCAGCUGCUCCCUUAGCCCACAACUGUAGGAUGUGCUCAGGCCGUGGAAUCCCAGAGCACAGGUGUGCCAAUUAAUUCUGCCUAACCCAAUGCAGUCAUGGUCUUCUCAAGGCCCUUCAUCUUGAGAUAACUUUGUAUAAAAACUUGGUGUGCUAAGUAAUCUCUAACUAUGGAAACCCUACUGAGACCUAGUCUCAGAACUCCUCAAGGCCUUCAAGUCUCAUGAUAACCUCUAGUAUGCUAAGUAAUCUCUGUAACCAUGGGAACCCUGUGGGCUGGGACUUGUAACCUCGGGGGACCCCCCCCCCCGUUUUCUUUAAAAGUGCCUUGUUUUUGUGGCUUGGGGCUUCAACUCUCCUGUCAGAGUUGAGCCCUAGCUAGCUGGUUUUCCAGAAGUAAACAAACCUUCUUGUACUUGCAUUCAGUGUCAUUAAGCUCCUUGAAGCCUUGGGGUCCUCUCUGAGGGGACACCACAGGGACUGACCUCCCCCCGGGGAACUCACCAGGCUUUCUGGAACUGUAGAGGUCCAUACAGCCACAGCAUUGCCCAGAGAGUUAAAUGGCCAAUAGUUAGAAGGAGUAAUGCUUAGAGACAGAGGAAGGGUGUGGUCGCCCUGAUGGUCUUGCGCUGCUCAGAGAUUCCAGUGAGAACCCCUGUGUUCAGUCUCAUGUCUAUAAGAACAUGCCUAAGUAUGCCCAUUGUGACAUAGAUGACCCUCUCCUGCCCUGUGAGACCAGCCCAGUAGCUGUGAGACUGGAGGGAGGUGGAGAUAGAAGCUGUACUGGGUCCUUAUGCCUGCCAUUUCUCCUGAGCCUCCAAGCCUGCUUCCCUGAGAUAGGAUGGUCUUUGUGUCUUGGGGGCUCCUUUGCCUUGUGCCUAUGGUCUGCCUUUGUUUCUGCCUCACUUGUGUUUCAGGUUUUUAGUCCUAAAGGCAUGGGGAAACUAAGGAAGAAACAAGCUGAUACCGACAUUUUCUGACUUUCUGGCAGGUUUUCAUGGUUUUCUGUUUGAUGACUUCUAAGUUACAGGAAUGCAUGACAGCAAUUGAAUAAUCCGCAGUGGUGAUCAAGUUAAAAUUCAGUUCCUGCUAAGUGGACCCGAGGACCUGCCUCUUAACAGACCUGGAACCACCUCUUCCAAAUGACAGCCCUCCUCAGUUCAAAACAACUAGGAAAUAGACAACGUCCCUAUUCAUUUUAAUGUUUUCAGGAUCUGGAAUGAUAGAAUGCCCCAGCCACGGAAAAGGAAAAGUCCUGCUGAGAUGUCUUGCAGGCAUUGCCCAACUGCUGUCCAUCAACCACUACCCAACAACCCUGGCUGGGGCCAAGAGUUACAGAGACAAUACUACCCUGUUGGGAAAAACAACCCCAGGAGAAGGAGGUUUUGCAAUCUACAAGGACCCUCCACCAAUGCAUCAGCUUCCUAGUACCUAAGAGCCUGACAAGUUCACUGCCAUUCACUGAGCCCCUCCAUUCUUGUAGGAAAGCAGCUGCCCCAGGUGUGCUAAUAAACAGUCUCAUUGGUGGAGGUCA